ACUAAUCCAUUAAAUGUAUGUUUUCCACACUUAAGGAACCAAAGAAACCUGCAGGCUCUGUCUAUUCACCCAGGGACCGCUUUCCAGGUGGUGAAAUGAACCCAGCUUCUUAGUGGAAUGGAGCGAUCACUGGAUGCCAGUAACACUACCCUACAAUGUGUAGAGGGGGAAAUGAAGGCUAGCUCAUCCGAAGGAAACUACAGGGGAAUUUUCGAUCAGCAGAAUGCAAUUAUCCAAGUUGGAAUUGUUCCAGGACACCAAAAGCGAACUUUAAAGGACCCAGCAUACACCUGACAUAUGGAAGAUACUCAAAACAGUUCCUACAAUAGAAGGAGGGAAAGCAGAGGUGGAAGGAGAGAGAAAAGGACAGAGAGGAAGGGAGAAAAUACAAAAGAUCUUUAUUGUUUAUUUCAUAAUUGAUUGAUUCUUUGAAGUAUAAUAAAGGACAGAUAUGACAGAGCCUCUAUUUUCCA
rnacentral:lncRNA from 1 species